UACGGAGGGUGCGAGCGUUGUCCGGAAUCACUGGGCGUAAAGGGCGCGUAGGCGGCGCGGAUAGUCGGCGGUGAAAGCCCGGAGCUCAACUCCGGGUCGGCCGUCGAUACUUCCGGGCUUGAGCACUGUAGAGGCAGAUGGAAUUCCGGGUGUAGCGGUGGAAUGCGUAGAGAUCCGGAAGAACACCGGUGGCGAAGGCGGUCUGCUGGGCAGUUGCUGACGCUGAUGCGCGACAGCGCGGGGAGCAAACAGG
rnacentral:rRNA from 1 species